ensembl:snoRNA
ACAGUUGGUUUUUAGUUAAAUGUGAUUUCCUGUUGAAAACUUCUAUAAACUCACAGAUUACGUAGUGUUUUUUUUUUUUUUUUUAUCAUGACAACUAUGUAGAAUAUAUGGUAAAGGUGCCUCCGUCCCUGCUGCUGCUUCCAGUUCCUGGCAGAUGCCUGCAGGGGGGCCCACAGGUGAGGACCAAAAUAAGACUAGGCACAGCCACCUGAGCGCAACCUUGGAUCUGACA